rfam:Zea mays cultivar B73 chromosome 3, whole genome shotgun sequence.
GCCCAUCUAGCCCACUUGGUGGAGCACAAGGCUUCUAACCUUGUGGUCAUGGGUUUGAGCCCCAUAGUUUGCA